UUGCUCCCUGAUGUUAGCGGCGGACGGGUGAGUAACACGUGGGUAACCUGCCUGUAAGACUGGGAUAACUCCGGGAAACCGGGGCUAAUACCGGAUGGUUGUUUGAACCGCAUGGUUCAGACAUAAAAGGUGGCUUCGGCUACCACUUACAGAUGGACCCGCGGCGCAUUAGCUAGUUGGUGAGGUAACGGCUCACCAAGGCAACGAUGCGUAGCCGACCUGAGAGGGUGAUCGGCCACACUGGGACUGAGACACGGCCCAGACUCCUACGGGAGGCAGCAGUAGGGAAUCUUCCGCAAUGGACGAAAGUCUGACGGAGCAACGCCGCGUGAGUGAUGAAGGUUUUCGGAUCGUAAAGCUCUGUUGUUAGGGAAGAACAAGUGCCGUUCAAAUAGGGCGGCACCUUGACGGUACCUAACCAGAAAGCCACGGCUAACUACCUGCCAGCAGCCGCGGUAAUACGUAGGUGGCAAGCGUUGUCCGGAAUUAAUGGGGGUAAAAGGGC
rnacentral:rRNA from 1 species